AGUGAACGCUGGCGGUAUGCCUAACACAUGCAAGUCGAGCGGAAGCACAGUAAGUGCUCGCUUUUACUGUUGGCGACUGGCGGACGGGUCAGGAAUAUAUCGCAAUCUUUUUUUUCUUGGGGGAUAACGUAGGGACACUUAUGCUAAUAGCGCAUAUGUCGUACGGGUGGGAUCAGCGGAUCUUCGGACCUUGCCUGACUGUAUUAGCUGAUGCCGGAUUAGCUAGUUGGCGUGGUAAAGGCCCACCUAGGCGACGAUCCGUAGCUGAUCUGAGAGGAUGAUCGGCCACACUGGAACUGAGACACGGUCCAGACUCCUACGGGAGGCAGCAGUAGGGAAUAUUCGACAAUGGGCGAAAGCCUGAUCCAGCAACGCCGCGUGAGUGAAGAAGGACUUCGGAUUGUAAAGCACUUUUAUUGGGGAAGAAAAGCUGCAGGAUAAUACCCAGCUGUUCUGACGGUACCAAAUGAGAAAGCACCGGCUAACUUCGUG
rnacentral:rRNA from 1 species